UACGUAGGGUGCGAGCGUUGUCCGGAAUUAUUGGGCGUAAAGAGCUUGUAGGCGGUUUGUCGCGUCUGCCGUGAAAGCCCAGGGCUUAACCCUGGGUCUGCGGUGGGUACGGGCAGACUAGAGUGUGGUAGGGGAGACUGGAAUUCCUGGUGUAGCGGUGAAAAUGCGCAGAUAUCAGGAGGAACACCGGUGGCGAAGGCGGGUCUCUGGGCCGAUACUGACGUGGAGGAGCGAAAGCGUGGGGAGCGAACAGG
rnacentral:rRNA from 1 species